rnacentral:ncRNA from 1 species
CUUAUCAAGAGUGGCAGAGGGAACGGCCCGAUGAAGCCACGGCAACCUGCAAUAAGGAUGAGAUAUUCCGAGGCAAGGUGCUAAUUCCGGCGGCAGAGCUGAAUAAUGAGCUCUACCGGAAGAUGAG